GACGAACGCUGGCGGCGUGCUUAACACAUGCAAGUCGAACGAAAAGACCAGGCUUUUGUGGUUUUCUCGUGAGGCGCAGGGGGGUGAAACACGCGUGUAACACCCCCUUGUCUUUGGGAUAACUUCUCGAAACUGCGGCUAAUACCGGAUAUGAUCUCCUGCAGCAUGGGGUUGGUUGGAAAAUGUCGGUGGUUGGGGAUGGUCUCGAGGGUUAUCCGCUUGUUUGUGUGGUAGUGGAUUACCAAGGCUAUGACGGGUAGGCGGCCUGAGAGGGUGACCGGGGACAUUGGGACUGCGAUACGGCCCAGACUCGUACGGGAGGCAGCAGUGGGGAAUAUUGCACAAUGGGCGGAAGCCUGAUGCAGCAACGCCGCGUGCGGGAUGACGGCCUUCGGGGUGUAAACCGAUUUCGCCGGUGAUGAAGCGUGAGUGACGGUAAUUGGUAAAGAAGCACCGGCUAACUACGUG
rnacentral:rRNA from 1 species